AAGCACUGGUGGGUAUUGUGUUAAUGUUUGUCAGGGUGGGUCUUUUGCAGUGUGUGUUUGUGCUGGUUGUGCUUGUGCCACUGAAGCCUUUGGAUUGGAGGUUUCCCACUGUUCCAGCAGGACUUGUUUAGCAAUGGCGAACUGAUCCAGCCAUCUGGUUUGACUUUAGGAGGAUGUCCUGUUGUUGGUUUGGUCUCAGGCUCAAAGGUGCUCUUUGAGAAUGAUCUGCAGGUCUGCAACCGUGUUGAUGAUGUCUAGUGGAUGCCAAGGUCAAUGCUUCCAGACCUCUCCCAUUUGCUCUGGUUUGUGACUCCUUACCUGUGGUGUCUCUUGAGGAUCAGAACGUGUGUUCUGAAGGCCACUCUCGCUCGGGCGCCCGGUUAAACGCUCCACAAGUCCUGUUCCUUUGCCAAUGGGUGGCUUGCUGCUGAUGGGAACCAUCAGGUUUGUGGUUGCUGUGACCCAACAGGUGUUCCUGAUGGUGGAACUGCUGCUCCUCCUUUUGGAGGCCUUCAGUGGGAAGGGAAGGCCUCGCUCGGUCCUGUAGUGGUUCAAGAGCACAAAAAGACUUUAGCUUGUUCAAUAAAUGUGGGGAGAAAACUUCU